rnacentral:rRNA from 1 species
UACGUAGGUGGCAAGCGUUGUCCGGAAUUAUUGGGCGUAAAGUGCGCGCAGGCGGUCCUUUAAGUCUGAUGUGAAAGCCCACGGCUCAACCGUGGAGGGUCAUUGGAAACUGGGGGACUUGAGUACAGAAGAGGAAAGCGGAAUUCCACGUGUAGCGGUGAAAUGCGUAGAGAUGUGGAGGAACACCAGUGGCGAAGGCGGCUUUCUGGUCUGUAACUGACGCUGAGGCGCGAAAGCGUGGGGAGCAAACAGG